rnacentral:rRNA from 1 species
AUUGAACGCUGGCGGCAGGCUUAACACAUGCAAGUCGAGCGGAGCGAGGGUGCUUGCACCUUAGCUUAGCGGCGGACGGGUGAGUAAUGCUUAGGAAUCUGCCCAUUAGUGGGGGACAACAUUCCGAAAGGGAUGCUAAUACCGCAUACGCCCUACGGGGGAAAGCAGGGGAUCUUCGGACCUUGCGCUAAUAGAUGAGCCUAAGUCGGAUUAGCUAGUUGGUGGGGUAAAGGCCUACCAAGGCGACGAUCUGUAGCGGGUCUGAGAGGAUGAUCCGCCACACUGGGACUGAGACACGGCCCAGACUCCUACGGGAGGCAGCAGUGGGGAAUAUUGAACAAUGGGCGGAAGCCUGAUCCAGCCAUGCCGCGUGUGUGAAGAAGGCCUUUUGGUUGUAAAGCACUUUAAGCGAGGAGGAGGCUACUAGUAUUAAUACUACUGGAUAGUGGACGUUACUCGCAGAAUAAGCACCGGCUAACUCUGUGCCAGCCGCCGCAGUAACAC